UACUAGUGGUACGAGUACUACUAGUGCUACUAGUACUAGUAGUACUAGUAGCACUAGUACUACUAGUACUAGUAC
rnacentral:tRNA from 1 species